CAGUAUUACAGCUCUUUUAGAAUUUGUCUAGCAGGUUUUCUGGUCUCUACCAGAAGACUCUC
ensembl:snRNA U7 U7 small nuclear RNA